rnacentral:rRNA from 1 species
AACGAACGCUGGCGGCAUGCCUAACACAUGCAAGUCGAACGAGACCUUCGGGUCUAGUGGCGCACGGGUGCGUAACGCGUGGGAACCUGCACUUAGGUUCGGAAUAACUCCCCGAAAGGGGUGCUAAUACCGGAUAAUGUCUUCGGACCAAAGAUUUAUCGCUUUUGGAUGGGCCCGGGUUGGAUUAGCUAGUUGGUAGGGUAAAAGCCUACCAAGGCGACGAUCCAUAGCUGGUCUGAGAGGAUGAUCAGCCACACUGGGACUGAGACACGGCCCAGACUCCUACGGGAGGCAGCAGUGGGGAAUAUUGGACAAUGGGCGAAAGCCUGAUCCAGCAAUGCCGCGUGAGUGAUGAAGGCCUUAGGGUUGUAAAGCUCUUUUACCCGGGAUGAUAAUGACAGUACCGGGAGAAUAAGCUCCGGCUAACUCCGUG